GGCACAGGAACACGCACCUCUUGGGACUGAAGACAUCUGACAAAAACUGGUACAUACCUUCUUAUGCACAUUCAUGCACAUUUCCUGGUUGGGAAAGAUUCUGUGAUAGUUUUCUUUCUUUGCUUACUGUGGACUUAAGUGAACUGGUACCUGAGAACUCAACAAUGGCACUAUAUCAAAGACAAGAGACAAGAGAUGAAGCUAUAUCAGGUGUAAUGAAGAACAGUGAACAGAUUGCAACAGAACCCAUACAAAUAUACCUGCUGAACACAGUCAAGGAAGAUUUGAAUGAAGACGGACAAGUCAGGAGAUACACAUUUGGAAGAAAGAACCCAGAAAAACAGAACAGGACAAUCAUGAUGGUGGGAGAAACAGGAACAGGGAAGUCUACACUCAUAAAUAUGAUGGUGAACUACAUGCUGGGAGUAAAGUGGGAUGACAAUAUUAGAUUUCAGAUUAUUCCAGGUGAAGGCGAAAGAUCCAAAGCUAAAUCUCAAACCAAUGUAAUAACUGUCUAUGAGAUUUUUGGACUGGAGAAACUGUCUGUUCCCUUUUCCCUCACAGUCAUUGACACACCAGGAUAUGAAGACACAAGAUACAGAGAAAGAAAAAAUCAUUGCUCAGAAUCUGUAUACAUUGUUGAAUUCUUUACACGGUGUUGAACAAAUAGACGCAGUUUGCUUUGUGGUGAAGGCAUCUUUAAAUCUCCUAACUCCCCACCAGAAAUACAUAUUUGAUGCCAUCCUGUCCCUCUUUGGGAAGAACAUGGAGAAACACAUCUUGACCCUCAUCACCUUCUCAAGCUGGACGCCACCUUCAGAAGCUCUUCAGACACUUAUUCAGUCUGGUGUACCUUUCCUCAAAGACGAUAACGAUGAACCGGUCUACUUCCCAUUCAACAACCUUCCUCUUGAGAAGCCAGGCGAGAAAUAUGAAAUGAUAUAUAAAACAAGCUGGGAUAAAGGAACAAAGAGCUUCAAGGACUUCUUCAAGGUUUUGGGUCGAAUGGAACCACAAAGCUUGAGGAUGACGGAAAAAGUCUUGAAGCGACGACAGAGCCUGGACAAUUCUGUCCAGAGAUUGGGGAGUCGGAUCAAGGAUGUGGAGGAGAAGCACAAGGCACUUGAUGAGGAAGCCAUUAUGCAGACAGUUCAGGGCAAAGCCACUUGCUGCACAGAGUGUAAGGUGAACUGCCACUAUCCGGGCUGCUGGUGGGCAAAAAGCCUAAGAUGGUGUUCUGUAAUGAAGGACGGCAAAUGCACGGUCUGUCCAAAAAACUGCAGCUAUGAGGUCCACAAA